rnacentral:rRNA from 1 species
CCUACGGUGUGCAGCAGUGAGGACUAUUGGUCAAUGGCCGGAAGGCUGAACCAGCCAUGCCGCGUGAAGGUCAGUGCCCUAUGGGCGUUAAACUUCUUUUGUGCGGGAGCAAUAAUGGUCACGUGUGGCCAGACGAGAGUACCGUACGAAUAAGCAUCGGCUAACUCCGUGCCAGCAGCAGCGGUAAUACGGGGGAUGCAAGCGUUAUCCGGAUUUAUUGGGUUUAAAGGGUGCGUAGGCUGUGAGGUACGUCAGCGGUGACAUGCCCUCGCUCAACGGGGUGAAGUGCCAUUGAUACUGCCUUGCUGGAAGGCGGAUGCCGUGGGAGGAAUGUGGGGGGUAGCGGUGAAAUGAAUAGAUAUCACACAGAACACCGAUUGCGAAGGCAUCUGACGAAUCCGCGAUUGACGCUGAUGCACGAAAGCGUGGGUAUCAAACAGGAUUAGAUACCCCUGGAGUC